AUAACAAAUACAACUUUCAACAACGGAUCUCUUGGCUCUCGCAUCGAUGAAGAACGCAGCGAAAUGCGAUAAGUAAUGUGAAUUGCAGAAUUCAGUGAAUCAUCGAAUCUUUGAACGCACAUUGCGCCUUUUGGUAUUCCGAAAGGCAUGCCUGUU
rnacentral:rRNA from 1 species